rnacentral:rRNA from 1 species
GAUGAACGCUGGCGGCGUGCCUAAUACAUGCAAGUCGAGCGAAUGGAUUAAGAGCUUGCUCUUAUGAAGUUAGCGGCGGACGGGUGAGUAACACGUGGGUAACCUGCCCAUAAGACUGGGAUAACUCCGGGAAACCGGGGCUAAUACCGGAUAACAUUUUGAACCGCAUGGUUCGAAAUUGAAAGGCGGCUUCGGCUGUCACUUAUGGAUGGACCCGCGUCGCAUUAGCUAGUUGGUGAGGUAACGGCUCACCAAGGCAACGAUGAGUAGCCGACCUGAGAGGGUGAUCGGCCACACUGGGACUGAGACACGGCCCAGACUCAUACGGGAGGCAGCAGUAGGGAAUCGUCCGCAAUGGACGAGAGUCUGACGGAGCAACGCCGCGUGAGUGAUGAAGGCUUUCGGGUCGUAAAACUCUGUUGUUAGGGAAGAACAAGUGCUAGUUGAAUAAGCUGACACCUUGACGGUACCUAACCAGAAAGCCACGGCUAACUACGUGCCAGCCGCCGCGGUAA